UGAUGCUUGAUUUUGGGGAAGGGUUUAUUUGUUAUGCUUGGGGUCAUUGUGAUGUUAAAAUAACAUUGACAUGUUACAGAAAUGUUUGCUGUUUUUUUUU